GUCCCUCUGGAUUCGUUGUCAGAGCUCAGCAUCCCCUCAAGCUCCCCUCCUCUUGACCUGCAACUUCAGUUCCACCAGUUCAUCAAGGCAAGAGCAGAGACUUUGGGACCCAUCGCCCGGAUAAGUACCCUCCCCCAAUUCUUGGAACUUGAGACCGGACUGAUAGAGCUUCAGAAGUGCAGACUGAAGCGGGGUCAGAGGGAGUCCUGAGGGUGGCGACUGGAAGCGGAAGAGUUUCCUCAGUGUGGUGAGAUGGAAAGGAGAGAAGAUUGUUGGCUCGGGGCCGGGGGAGGAGAGGAUCUUGGGGGGACAGAGGAGGAAGUACUACGCAUAGGAAUCUGCAACUGAGGGCCAGGCACGCGAAGGUCAAGAUUGCGGGCCCGGGAGAAAAUGACAAGCCCUCGGGGCUUUGUGGACCUAGCUCGGGAAGAAAAGGAGACGGAAGACUGGAGGAAACAACAGAUACAAAUAACCUCUUAAUGACACACAAGGGAAAUAUGGACCAUCAUCACCCUCAAGGAUAUUCAUCAAUGCCAGGAUCUGAAGUGUGUUUAAUACAAGAGAUAAUUGCAUUUUGAAAUCUAAGAGAUUCUAUUGGCUGUCCAAUUGUUAGAAUAAGGAGGUAAGUGUUUCAGAUACAUGUGAUACUUGUAAAUGUAUGUGUUUAUGCUUCUUCUAUUGAAGGCUUGCCAUUUAAUGAGGGAAAGGAUAUAUCUGUAAAUAAAUAUAGUAUAAGAAAAUACUUAAAUUGAUUUCUGAUCUCAUUUAUUUGGAAGGGAACUCAAAUAAUGCAGAUCAUAACUGUGUCCAUGGCAUGUGGCUUUUAUCCAUGUCAUCCCAGAAAUUCAGCAUAGAGCAUCCAAGCAAUAUAUUGUAGGUCUUUUUUAUUUUCACUUGACAUUAUCAGGGUACCUGUGGAGCAUUCUGUCAUCCCUCACUCUUACCUCAUGAUCAACCUGUUUUUUCUUCCCAUCAGAGAGUUCCCUGGUAGCUUCUUUACUCCUGUUCUUCUCUGAGAUUUCUCAUUGAUUAUAUGUUGGAUCCUGCUCAUACCCACCAUAUUCCUCUCAAUAUUCUCUCUGUGUUAUUCAUUUUUUGCUUUUUGUAAUCUAUCACAUUCCAUGUCUCACUGUCAUAUAGGUACACCAGUAGAAUGUUAAUAUGAAAAAAGGCAGGCUGUUGUUUCCAAGGGAAACUUGUAGUCAUUAAUGAAAGACGAACCCUAAAGAAAGUCCACUGGAUUUGACAAUUAGGUAAUUUUUGGAAAGAGCAGCGGAGCCAUCAUAUUUGGAUCCUGACAUUAUAGAUGUCCUUAUAUGAGUAGUAAAAUGGCCUCGAAGAGUACAAAGUCUGUAAAAGCAAUCAAAUUGGACCAGAUGUUUAUAGAAGAUCUGUAUUAGAAAUGCUACAAUUGUGAGUAUAUUGAGGGAUGGAGAC
rnacentral:lncRNA from 1 species